ACGAACGCUGGCGGCGUGCUUAACCCCUGCAAGUCGGACGAUGAAGAAGAGAAACGCGAACUUCGGUUCAAAUUUCACUUCGGAUUAGUGGCAGACGGGUGAGUAACGCGUGAGCAACCUACCUCUUACAAAGGGAUAGCCUCGGGAAACCGUGAUUAAUACCAUAUGACACAUUCAUAAGGCAUCUUAAGAAUGUUAAAGCUACGGCGGUAAGAGAUGGGCUCGCGUCCCAUUAGCUAGUUGGUGAGGUAACGGCCCACCAAGGCGACGAUGGGUAACCGGCCUGAGAGGGUGAACGGUCACAUUGGAACUGAGACACGGUCCAAACUCCUACGGGAGGCAGCAGUGGGGAAUAUUGCACAAUGGAGGGAACUCUGAUGCAGCGACGCCGCGUGAGCGAUGAAGGAAUUCGUUUCGUAAAGCUCUGUUCUAUGGGAAGAAAAGGACUGUACCAUAGGAGAAAGCCCCGGCUAAAUACGUG
rnacentral:rRNA from 1 species